rnacentral:rRNA from 1 species
GUGAGGAAUUUUCCGCAAUGGGCGAAAGCCUGACGGAGCAAUGCCGCGUGAAGGAUGAAGGCCUAUGGGUUGUAAACUUCUUUUCUCAGAAAAGAAUUAUGACGGUAUCUGAGGAAUAAGCAUCGGCUAACUCUGUGCCAGCAGCCGCGGUAAGACAGAGGAUGCAAGCGUUAUCCGGAAUGAUUGGGCGUAAAGCGUCUGUAGGUUGUUUAAAAAGUAUUCUGUCAAAGAUUAGGGCUUAACCCUAGAUAGGCAGAAUAAACUUUUAAGCUAGAGUUUGGUAGAGGCAGAGGGAAUUCCCGGUGGAGCGGUGGAAUGCGUAGAUAUCGGGAGGAACACCAAAGGCGAAGGCACUCUGCUGGGCCAAUACUAACACUGAGAGACGAAAGCGAGGGGAGCAAAUGGGAUUAGAUACCCUUGUAGUCC